rnacentral:rRNA from 1 species
UACGAAGGGGGCGAGCGUUGUUCGGAAUCACUGGGCGUAAAGGGCGCGUAGGCGGCCCGCCAAGUCGCGUGUGAAAGCCCCGGGCUCAACCUGGGGACGGCGCGCGAGACUGACGGGCUGGAGUUCGGGAGAGGAGAGUGGAAUUCCCAGUGUAGAGGUGAAAUUCGUAGAUAUUGGGAAGAACACCGGUGGCGAAGGCGGCUCUCUGGACCGAGACUGACGCUGAGGCGCGAAAGCGUGGGGAGCAAACAGG